AUGCUCAUUCAGCAGUACAUGAAUCAAAAUUGGAACAAUACAGAGAAGAUCAGCAUGCAGGGAUGACAUACACAUUUGUGAAGUAUAUUUUUAAUGU
rnacentral:snRNA from 1 species